GAUGAACGCUGGCGGCGUGCCUAAUACAUGCAAGUCGAGCGAACGGACGAGAAGCUUGCUUCUCUGAUGUUAGCGGCGGACGGGUGAGUAACACGUGGAUAACCUACCUAUAAGACUGGGAUAACUUCGGGAAACCGUAGCUAAUACCGGAUAAUAUUUUGAACCGCAUGGUUCAAAAGUGAAAGACGGUCUUGCUGUCACUUAUAGAUGGAUCCGCGCUGCAUUAGCUAGUUGGUAAGGUAACGGCUUACCAAGGCAACGAUGCAUAGCCGACCUGAGAGGGUGAUCGGCCACACUGGAACUGAGACACGGUCCAGACUCCUACGGGAGGCAGCAGUAGGGAAUGUUCCGCAAUGGGCGAAAGCCUGACGGAGCAACGCCGCGUGAGUGAUGAAGGUCUUCGGAUCGUAAAACUCUGUUAUUAGGGAAGAACAUAUGUGUAAGUAACUGUGCACAUCUUGACGGUACCUAAUCAGAAAGCCACGGCUAACUACGUG
rnacentral:rRNA from 1 species